ACUCACUCCAUCCUGCCACCCUGCGAGGAAGGUGCCUGCUUCUUCUUUGCCUUCCGCCGUGAGUGUGAGUCUCCUGAGGCCUCCCCAGCAAUGUGGAACUGAUACGUCAUGGAACAGAGGGCAACCUGCCUCCUGGAAAUGUGGAGUGUCUAGGGAGUCACAGCUGAGAUCUUCCUUGGAUUAAAGGCUGCGGGUGUCACAAACAGACCUGAUUGAAAAUUCUUGAUCUGGCCACAUACCCUGUUUACAUUGAUGCAGAUUCAACUGGGUGAAAUAACUGUGAACUGGGCAUGUGAAGAGAAAGCUGAAAGCCAUGAUCUCAAGAUGGAAACUUCAGUAUCCAGCAAAGGAUGCUGUAACAACACCAUAAACUUUCAAACAACUCUAUUUCCUACGGUUCUGGAGGCUGGAAGUCCACAAUCAAAGUGUCAUGUUGUCAGGUUGUGGUGAGGGCCCUCUUUUGGGUGUAGAUUGCUAACUUUUCUGUAUGUGUUCACAUGGCAGAAAGAGAUUGAGCUAGCUCUUGGAUCCUUUCUUAUAAGGGCACCAAUCCCAAUACAGAGGCUUCACUCUCAUGACAUAAUUGUCUCCCAAAGACUCUACCUCCAAAUAUUAUCAAUCACAUUAGGGGAUAGAUUUUAACACAUGAUUUUGGGGGGAACACAUUCAGUCCAUAACAUUUCUUGAGUCUUCUUCUAGGACCCAUAGGUUAUUUUAAAAGUGGCUUGUUCAGUUCCAAGUGUUUGAAGAUUUUUUUUUUCUGUUAUCUUUAACUUACUGAUUUCUAGAUAGACCCCAUUGUGCUCAGAGAACACUCCUUAUGUGAUUUCAAUUAUUUUAAAUUUGUUGAGAUUUUAUGACUUAGUAUGUCAUCUGUCUUGGUGUGUAUUCUGUGGGGGGGAUGGGGGGUGCUUGAAAAACGGGUAUUCUGCUAUUAUAGAAUGUCAAAAUAUCAACUGUAAUAAACAAGAAAAAUAAUCCUAGUCUUUUAUUUAAGGGCCCUCUUUAGUCCAUCUCAACAGACCCUUCUCCGAAGGGGAAAGAAAUGCAGCUCACAAGAGCCCAUUAAACAACUAAAACAAGACAAAAUAAAACAACUACCCCCUGCCAAUUUGCACACUGUUACUUCUUUUGUUUUCCCAAUCUUAUUUCUUCUUCUUUUUUAUAAUAAAAAAUUUCAAAGCAAU
rnacentral:lncRNA from 1 species